rnacentral:tmRNA from 1 species
GGGGGCGACAUGGCUUCGACGUGGGUCGCGAAACUUGAGGUGCAUGCCGAGGUGCAGUUGCCUCGUAAAACUGACUGCAAACAAUAUAGUUGCCAACGACGACAACUACGCUCUCGCAGCUUAAUAACCUGCGUUAGAGCCCUCAGUCCGGUGCGUGCCUGUGCGCCCGGGUCGCUGGGGUCAUCCACACAGGACCGCGCAUCGGCUCGUCCGGGGCCUGAUGCGUCAAACUUAACCGGACUCGCCAUGUGUCUUCCCUGUCUGUCGGGUAGCACAUGGUUAAACCAAUAGACAGACUAAGCAUGUAGAGCCGAGAGCGGAGGACUCACGGACGCCGGUUCGAUCCCGGCCGCCUCCACCA